rnacentral:rRNA from 1 species
CCUACGGGAGGCAGCAGUGGGGAAUAUUGGACAAUGGGGGGAACCCUGAUCCAGCCAUGCCGCGUGUGUGAAGAAGGCCCUCGGGUUGUAAAGCACUUUCAGUGAGGAAGAACGCCUGGUGGUUAAUACCCAUCAGGAAAGACAUCACUCACAGAAGAAGCACCGGCUAACUCCGUGCCAGCAGCCGCGGUAAUACGGAGGGUGCGAGCGUUAAUCGGAAUUACUGGGCGUAAAGCGCGCGUAGGUGGCUUGAUAAGCCGGUUGUGAAAGCCCCGGGCUCAACCUGGGAACGGCAUCCGGAACUGUCAAGCUAGAGUGCAGGAGAGGAAGGUAGAAUUCCCGGUGUAGCGAUGAAAUGCGUAGAGAUCGGGAGGAAUACCAGUGGCGAAGGCGGCCUUCUGGACUGACACUGACACUGAGGUGCGAAAGCGUGGGUAGCAAACAGGAUUAGAUACCCUAGUAGUC